GCGGAGGAAAAGAAAAUAACAAUGAUUUCCCUAGUAACGGCGAGUGAAGAGGAAAGAGCUCAAAGUUGGAACCUGUUUGGCUUAGCUAAACCGGAUUGUAAACUGUAGAAACGUUUUCCUGGCACGCCAGAUAAAUAAGUCCUUUGGAACAGGGCAUCAUAGAGGGUGAGAAUCCCGUCUUUGGUCUGAGCUGUUGUCUUUUGUGAUACGUUUUCAAAGAGUCAGGUUGUUUGGGAAUGCAGCCUAAAUUGGGUGGUAAAUCUCACCUAAAGCUAAAUAUUUGCGAGAGACCGAUAGCGAACAAGUACCGUGAGGGAAAGAUGAAAAGAACUUUGAAAAGAGAGUUAAACAGUAUGUGAAAUUGUUAAAAGGGAACCGUUUGGAGCCAGACUGGCUUGAUCGUAAUCAAUCUAGGUUUCGACCUGGAUGCACUUGCGGUCUAUGCCUGCCAACGACAGUUCUUUUUGAAGGAUAAAACUAGGAGGAAUGUGGCCCCUCGGGGUGUUAUAGCCUUCUAGAUAAUACUUUGAUUGGGACUGAGGAACGCAGUGAAUGCUUUUGGCGAAAUUGCUGAGCGCUUUUGUUGAUAGAUGUUAGAAUUUCUGCUUCGGGUGGUGCUAAUGUCUAAAGAUGAAACCCGUUUAGUUAAUUUUCUAUUCACUUAGGUUGUUGGCUUAAUGACUCUAAAUGAC
rnacentral:rRNA from 1 species